rnacentral:rRNA from 1 species
GGGUUGUUAAGGAACUCGGCAAAUUGACCCCGUAACUUCGGGAGAAGGGGUGCUGCAGCAAUGCAGCCGCAGAGAAUCGGCCCAAGCAACUGUUUACCAAAAACACAGGUUUGUGCUAAAUCGAAAGAUGACGUAUACGAGCUGACGCCUGCCCGGUGCUGGAAGGUUAAGAGGAGAUGUGCAAGCAUUGAAUCGAAGCCCCAGUGAACGGCGGCCGUAACAAUAACGGUCCUAAGGUAGCGAAAUUCCUUGUCAGGUAAGUUCUGACCCGCAUGAAAGGCGUAAUGAUUUGGGCACUGUCUCAACAGCCCGCCCGGCGAAAUUGUAGUACCGGUGAAGAUGCCGGUUACCCGCGACAAGACGGAAAGACCCCAUGGAGCUUUACUGUAGCCUAAUAUUGGGUUUCGAUGUUGCAUGCACAGGAUAGAUGGGACACUGGGAAGCAGGUGCUUUGGCGCUUGUGGAGUGGCCGUUGGGAUACCAUCCUUGCGAUAUUGGAAUUCUAACCUGCGCCUUUGAAUCAAGGCGGGGGACAUUGUUAGGUGGGCAGUUUGACUGGGGCGGACGCCUCCUAAAGAGUAACGGAGGCGUUCAAAGGUUCGCUCAGCUUGAACGGAAAUCAAGCAAAAGAGCGCAAACGCAGAAGCGAGCCUAACUGCGAGACUGACGGGUCGAGCAGUAACGAAAGUUGGAGUUAGUGAUCCGGUGGUAUGUGAGUGGAAAUGCCAUCGCUCAACGGAUAAAAGUUACCCUGGGGAUAACAGGCUGAUCUCCCCCAAGAGUCCACAUCGACGGGGAGGUUUGGCACCUCGAUGUCGGCUCAUCGCAUCCUGGGGCUGUAUUCGGUCCCAAGGGUUUGGCUGUUCGCCAAUUAAAGCGGUACGCGAGCUGGGUUCAGAACGUCGUGAGACAGUUCGGUCCCUAUCUGUCGUGGGCGCAGGAUAUUUGAUGGGAGCUGUUCCUAGUACGAGAGGACCGGAGCGGACGUACCUCUGGCGCACCAGUUGUUCUGCCAAGAGCAUAGCUGGGCAACUAUGUACGGAUCGGAUAAACGCUGAAAGCAUCUAAGCGUGAAGCCGACCCAAAGAUAAGAUAUCCCAUUGUUUCAAACAAGUAAGACCCCUUGAAGACUACAAGGUUGAUAGGCACGAUGUGUAAGUGGAGCGAUCCAUUCAGCAAGCGUGUACUAAUAGGUCGAGGGCUUGAUC